AUUGAAGUCAUGUAUCUACAAGUCAAGGAAUGCCAAGGAUUGCUGGAAACCACCAGAAGCAGCAGCAGAAGCAGCAUCCUGCAGGGCUCUGUGAGGUUUCCCCUGCCAGGAAGCGAAGCGCCCACACAAACUUUGGUUUGUUUCUAGGACAAGGCACAGUAAGUAGGUCAAUAAUGAUGAACAAUUCACUGUAUACUCUAAUUCUCAAAAAAGAAGAAGGAAAAGAAGAGGAAGAGGAAGAAUCAGUUUGUCAUGUCUCCCUCCUUGCUUCCAUACAAUAAACAGUCCUUAUCUGCCAUUUGAGCCAUCCCUAUUGUACAUUUAGGUCUCUUGGGACAUCCGUAUGUAAAGCUGAGAUAUAGGCGAUGCCCACCAUCUGGUUUGUUACUCCAGAACACUGGUGAGGGAA
rnacentral:lncRNA from 1 species